rnacentral:rRNA from 1 species
UACGUAGGGUGCGAGCGUUACUCGGAAUUACUGGGCGUAAAGCGUGCGCAGGCGGUUCGUCAAGUCUGAUGUGAAAGCCCCGGGCUCAACCUGGGAACUGCAUUGGAUACUAGCGAGCUUGAGUGUGGCAGAGGGGGGUGGAAUUCCACGUGUAGCAGUGAAAUGCGUAGAGAUGUGGAGGAACACCGAUGGCGAAGGCAGCCCCCUGGGCUGACACUGACGCUCAGGCACGAAAGCGUGGGGAGCAAACAGG